CCUGGCCCCGCCACACCUCCAAAGCAGCUCAUCUCCUCAGUGGGGAGGUGCGCGAGAGCAGGCCGCCUGUCACCAGGACCUAACCAGAGGCAGCGCCCAACAGCGACCCCUUGCCCAACUUCCAGGGCCAGCUGUGAGAACAGGUCUUUCCACCAGGUUCAGACACCAGGUCUACCUGCCUGGUUCAGACACCAGGUCUACCCGCCGGGCUCGGACACCAGGUCUACCUGCUGUGAUCGGAUACCAGGUCUACCCACGAGGCUAGGACACCAGGUCUUUCCGCCGGGCUCGGACACCAGGUCUUUCCGCCAGGCUCAGACACCAGGUCUUUCCACCGGGCUCGGACACCAGGUCUUUCCACCGGGCUCGGACAGCAGGUCUACCCACUGUGAUUGGACACCAGGUCUACCCAAUGACUACAGACCGCGGCUCUACCUGCUGAGCUCCAAAACCAGGUCUACCCACCGGGCUCGUAGAGCAGCUCUACCUGCUGGCACCCCCGCGGCCGAGCCCAGUCAGGGCUCCAAGAGAGUCUGAGCUACUCCCCCUCUUUACCCGCACCGCAGACAAUGCCGUUUCUUUCCCACUCGGAGUCCCGGGCAGAAACAGCAGUGCCUCGGCCCCCGCUGAGGGCCUCGGCUAAGCCCUUAGAAGCUGCUCUAGCCGCCUGACUCAGAGAGCGGUUCUACGAUCCCAGGGAGCAGGUCUACCCGCUGUGCUGGGACACCAGGUCUUCCCGCUGUGCACGGACACCAGGUCUACCCACUGAGAACAGACAGCGGCUCUACCUGCUGAGCUCCAAAACCAGGUCUACCUGCUGGGCUCAGACAGCAGUUCUACACACCGGCACCCCCGCAGUCGAGCCCAGUCGGCCACCGCCAUGCCAUUAAACGAACACACACAAAGUGUAUGUACCUUUUCCGGGUUAGGGGUGGCCCGUCCACCAUCGUCAUGUCCAGUGAGCACUAGAAGUAAUCAUUACGAGAUUCACCACUUUUGGGGGAUAGGGUCACAAUAAAAGACACAGCUUUAAUAACAACUAAUAAAAUACAAGGGAAACUAAUACAACUAUUACUAAAACUAAGAAAAAGAGUAAAAGACAAUAAAAGACAGGAAAAAGACAUUAAAAACAAUGCAAGGAUAAAACCAGAAAAAUUAAAACUUAGUAACAACAUAAAGACUUAACUACUUACAAAGCUGUGUGGAACUUUUACUUGCAAAUAUAUGUAUGAUGUCAACAGAGGUGAGGAGAGCUCUGGAUGCUAAAGCUCGGGCUGUCCUUUCCCGCUUUGAGGCUGAUAGACCCAGAGUCUGCAAAAGAUCAAAAUUUUUAUUGUACCACUUACCCCUUGCUCCAAGGGGAAAGCCCAUGAAAAUGACUUUAUCAGUAUUAGUUAAUUCCUUGAUCUCCUUCUCCAAAUGUCUAUAUUUUCUCACUUUCUCUUUUGCUGCUUUUUCAAGCAUGGUGUUGUCUGCUUUAUACCUUAUUGUCGCAUCCACAAUGAGUGCCUGUUUCUCUUUCACAAAAAUGAGGUCGGGUUUAAACAGCUCCCCAUCUGUAUCUCUUAUAUUAGGUUCCUGAUAGACCAUCCAAUCUUUCUUUUUCACUUCCUCAGCGAGCAUAUUGCAGAUGUAAUUAUGACAUUUGAUCCUAGCGUCUUUGAUGAUUGGGCAUUGUCCGAUGAUAUGGGCACAGGAUUCAUUCCCAGCUUGACAAUGUCUACAGGACCCGAUGUAACCGUCUUUCUUCCCUCUAGCCAAAUAUUCUCUAGUGGGAUAAACAUUCACCCUCAACUGUAGAGCUGUCAGGAGUUUCCGAUGGGGUAUACCACGAUAUUUCUUAAUCCAGUUGUUACUAAUCCUGUCUCCUUCAAAAUUAGUAAUCCCAAUACCUUGGGACUGUAAUUGAGUCCAUUUCUGGAAUUCCCUUCCAAUUACAAGGCCGUGGGUAACUGUUCUUUGGUAUGUUACUCUCCCAUUCUGAUGUCUCUUCCUCAUCCAGAGUUGAUGUUUCCACCAUUAGUUUGGGUGCCCAGAUAUCCGGUAUUUUAUCUUUAUCUCCUCCAGCUGUUAUCCACAGUUUCUCAUAUACCUGCGUGAUGUUUUCUUCCAGCAAAACUGCCCUUAAGGUGUCAUCAGAACACUGUGCCAGCCUAGGCAACCUUCUGGCUUGUACACUUGGGAUCAAGGCUUGUAAUUUUGUAAUACCUAACCCACCAUCCUUUAUGCUGGAAUAUAGGAUGGCAUCACAAAUGCUGGCCAGUAGAUGUAACCAUUUCUUAACUGUCGCCCUAAUCUUUAAAUCUAGGGCUUCCAAAAAUCCAGCUUUUAUCUCUGUAUGAUCUGCUAAAUAUAUUAUUCGAGGGAUCGCAUAUGUUUUUAACAUGUCCACUCUUUGUAAUGGUUUGAGUGGUGCUUCACUAAUGCGGCUUAACCAUGUUUCUAUUUUCGAUGACAAAUCCGGUUUAGCUGUUUGUACCCAAGGAUCAAUCUGAACGCCAAGAUAUUUCUCAGAGCUACCCAGACAAACCAUAUUGAGGAGUGUACCACCUAUAAUCCAUGAGGGACAAUCAUUGAUUGUAUAUGCUUCUCUAGUAGGCUUUAUGAGAAAACCAUGGCAUGCCACCUUAGGCAGAGUCCAAGUUACUCCCCCUGUUUCCCAGCCCCACAGGAAACGUUUCUUCUUUCACCCUCAGGCAGGGGGAAGCCUUAACACCGGAGAGGAAGUCUGCCACAAAGGGCCAUGGGAGAUGGAGUCUCCACAGCAAGCCCCUCGAGAAAGUACUCAACGGAGCAUGCCUGCUGGAAGGACUGGCUAAGAACUGGGGGAAAUCAGGGAGGUCAGGGCAGGUCCGGAAGGGCACGCCGGCGCUCCAAUCGACGGAUUUAGCACUUGUACGCCGUCUGCUCGCUCUGUGAAUUCGGUGCCACGCUCAGAGCACCGGUCGGAAAUGGGAGCGCUUCGGCGCCCACCGAGGGCCCUCGCCGAGCCUUCGGACCAGUUCUAGCUGCCGGACCUGGACAAGAGCUCUACCCAGAGGGCUCAGAGACCACGUCUGCUUGCUGCCGGGCCAAGCCGCGGUGCUCACGCUCUAAGGCUCCCCGCCAGCAACAGGUCUACCCGCCGCUAAGGCCAGCCCAGGCGCUCCGGCUCUUAAGUCCCCUCGCCGGGAAUAGGUCUACCCGCCUCACCUAGGAACGGGGAGAACCGACCCCCAGCGCCACACCUGCAUGCACGGCGGUGUGGACGGCACCGCCCAGGCGUGCCCGGGGGCGCCGAGGCUCAUCCGCUUCCCGCUGCGCCCGGGGGGUCACCAGGUCUACCUCCCGGCGGGGAGAGGACGGCGGCAGGGCCCCUGUGCCCCGCGGCGAGGGACCCCCUUUGCCGCCGCCGCCCCUCGGCACCGGAGCGCCCCCGAGCCCCCCGCCCCGCGUAUCGGGCCCGGGACCCACACGGAGGGAAGACCAGGCGCGCGCCCGGCGCCAAACGGCGCCAGGCGGGAAGGACGGCGGGCUCCGCCGCGCCGUGGCCUCGCCCCCCUGCCCCGCGUACCAGGCCUGGGACCCGCACGGAGGGAAGGACGGGCCGCUGCCGGCAGCCCGCGCGCGCCCCCCCUUUCUCGCUCUCGCUCUCGGGCCCGGCCCCCGGGACCCCGUGUCUCGGGUCUUGGACCCGCGCGGAGGGAGACCGGGCCCAGCACGGCGCGCACGCGGCGCCGGAGCCCCCUGUCGGCACCCGGCCCGCCGGCCACCGGACGGACGGACGGACAGCGACGGAUGGAGCGCGUGGACGGACAGUUUUCAUCCCCUGAGGAAGCACUCGCCACUGGAACCUGCGGUGAGGUUCACAAACAUUAAUCACUGGGACAGAAAAUGCAAACUUAGCCGAAUCUCUCGAAUUAAGAAAAAUGUGAAAGAAACAGUUCUUGAUAUCAACAACAACCAUGGGCCAUUCAGCAGGUAGCAUAGAUGGGGAUGGCAUACCUUGCUGUAGGGCUCCCCUGGGUUCCAGGACUUCGUUUACCUUGCACAGGUCCUGGAGAAGCCUCCAGGAUCCUGAGGAUUUUUGGAUGACAAAUGCUGGAGUGUUCCAGGGACUGGUGGAAGGCUCCAGGUGUCCUUUUUCCAAAUCCCGAUCAACCAAUUCGUUUAAAAUUUGUAGCUUUUGGUUAGGCAAGGGCUACCCAGACCAGAAACUCCGUUUUCCAAGUCAGUUUGGGUAGCUGCAAGCACUCAGUGACCCUCCCUAAAAAUUUGUUUGCAGUCCGAUAUGCCACUGCUCCAUGGCAUCUCGUCCCCAUAAUGUUACCGGCGCGUUCAGUAUGAAUGGUCGGAGAAUUGCACAUCUGCCCUCCAGCCCAUGGAUGGUAACUACUUCCAAGCUUUGGACGGGCUGUUGUGAGCCACCCACACCAGUAACUUUGAUGUUAGUACUGUGGGCUGGCCAGUUGGGAGGCCAGUCCCAGGAAGCGAUUAUCGUAAUAUCAGCCCCAGUGUCCAAAAGGCCUGUAACAGUAGUUUUCUGUGGACUACGAGAUCCUGAAAGGUAAACAGAGCAUGUUAGAAAUGGCCUCUCUGCUUGCACAACUGUUGUCCAAUUGACUUGUAGUUCAUCGCUGACUCUGAGCUCCUCAUCUCGUGACAUGAGAUUCACCAGAGCAGUUAUCAAAAUCAUCUUUGCCACUGGAAAACAGUCGACUUCUAUAGGUGGGAGAGAGGCAAAAAUACAAAUAAAAAUGUUAUGUUUGUUAA